UACGGAAGGCAGCAGUGGGGAAUAUUGCACAAUGGGCGAAAGCCUGAUGCAGCUAUGCCGCGUGUAUGAAGAAGGCCUUAGGGUUGUAAAGUACUUUCAUCGGGGAGGAAAAAACAAAACUAAUAAUUUUAUUUCUUGACGUUACCCGAAAAAGAAGCACCGGCUAACUCCGUGCCAGCAGCCGCGGUAAUACGGAGGGUGCUAGCGUUAAUCAGAAUUACUGGGCGUAAAGAGCACGUAGGUGGUUUUUUUAAGUCAGAUGUGAAAUCCCUGGGCUUAACCUGGAACUGCAUUUUGAAACUGAAAUACUAGAGUAUCGUAGAGGGAGGUAGAAUUCUAGGUGUAGCGGUGAAAUGCGUAGAUAUCUGGAGGAAUACCUGUGGCGAAAGCGGCCUCCUAAACGAAUACUGACACUGAGGGUGCGAAAGCGUGGGGAGCAAACGAGGGAUUUAGAUACC
rnacentral:rRNA from 1 species